rnacentral:rRNA from 1 species
UACGUAGGUGGCAAGCGUUGUCCGGAUUUACUGGGCGUAAAGAGCGCGCAGGCGGUCGUUCAAGUCGCGUGUGAAAGCCCCCGGCUCAACUGGGGAGGGUCACGCGAUACUGAUCGACUCGAAGGCAGGAGAGGGUAGUGGAAUUCCCGGUGUAGUGGUGAAAUGCGUAGAUAUCGGGAGGACACCAGUGGCGAAGGCGACAUUC